CGAACGGGCGUAGCAAUACGUCAGUGGCAGACGGGUGAGUAACACGUGGGAACGUACCUUUUGGUUCGGAACAACUGAGGGAAACUUCAGCUAAUACCGGAUAAGCCCUAACGGGAAAGAUUUAUCGCCGAAAGAUCGGCCCGCGUCUGAUUAGCUAGUUGGUGGGGUAAUGGCCCACCAAGGCGACGAUCAGUAGCUGGUCUGAGAGGAUGAUCAGCCACAUUGGGACUGAGACACGGCCCAAACUCCUACGGGAGGCAGCAGGU
rnacentral:rRNA from 1 species